UUAAGCGACUAAGCGUACACGGUGGAUGCCCUGGCAGUCAGAGGCGAUGAAGGACGUGCUAAUCUGCGAUAAGCGUCGGUGAGGUGAUAUGAACCGUUAUAACCGGCGAUUUCCGAAUGGGGAAACCCAGUGUGUUUCGACACACUAUCAUUAACUGAAUCCAUAGGUUAAUGAGGCGAACCGGGGGAACUGAAACAUCUAAGUACCCCGAGGAAAAGAAAUCAACCGAGAUUCCCCCAGUAGCGGCGAGCGAACGGGGAGGAGCCCAGAGCCUGAAUCAGUGUGUGUGUUAGUGGAAGCGUCUGGAAAGGCGUGCGAUACAGGGUGACAGCCCCGUACACAAAAAUGCACAUAUUGUGAGCUCGAUGAGUAGGGCGGGACACGUGGUAUCCUGUCUGAAUAUGGGGGGACCAUCCUCCAAGGCUAAAUACUCCUGACUGACCGAUAGUGAACCAGUACCGUGAGGGAAAGGCGAAAAGAACCCCGGCGAGGGGAGUGAAAAAGAACCUGAAACCGUGUACGUACAAGCAGUGGGAGCCUCUUUAUGGGGUGACUGCGUACCUUUUGUAUAAUGGGUCAGCGACUUAUAUUCUGUAGCAAGGUUAACCGAAUAGGGGAGCCGAAGGGAAACCGAGUCUUAACUGGGCGUUAAGUUGCAGGGUAUAGACCCGAAACCCGGUGAUCUAGCCAUGGGCAGGUUGAAGGUUGGGUAACACUAACUGGAGGACCGAACCGACUAAUGUUGAAAAAUUAGCGGAUGACUUGUGGCUGGGGGUGAAAGGCCAAUCAAACCGGGAGAUAGCUGGUUCUCCCCGAAAGCUAUUUAGGUAGCGCCUCGUGAAUUCAUCUCCGGGGGUAGAGCACUGUUUCGGCAAGGGGGUCAUCCCGACUUACCAACCCGAUGCAAACUGCGAAUACCGGAGAAUGUUAUCACGGGAGACACACGGCGGGUGCUAACGUCCGUCGUGAAGAGGGAAACAACCCAGACCGCCAGCUAAGGUCCCAAAGUCAUGGUUAAGUGGGAAACGAUGUGGGAAGGCCCAGACAGCCAGGAUGUUGGCUUAGAAGCAGCCAUCAUUUAAAGAAAGCGUAAUAGCUCACUGGUCGAGUCGGCCUGCGCGGAAGAUGUAACGGGGCUAAACCAUGCACCGAAGCUGCGGCAGCGACACUAUGUGUUGUUGGGUAGGGGAGCGUUCUGUAAGCCUGUGAAGGUGGCCUGUGAGGGUUGCUGGAGGUAUCAGAAGUGCGAAUGCUGACAUAAGUAACGAUAAAGCGGGUGAAAAGCCCGCUCGCCGGAAGACCAAGGGUUCCUGUCCAACGUUAAUCGGGGCAGGGUGAGUCGACCCCUAAGGCGAGGCCGAAAGGCGUAGUCGAUGGGAAACAGGUUAAUAUUCCUGUACUUGGUGUUACUGCGAAGGGGGGACGAAGAAGGCUAUGUUGGCCGGGCGACGGUUGUCCCGGUUUAAGCGUGUAGGCUGGUUUUCCAGGCAAAUCCGGAAAACCAAGGCUGAGGCGUGAUGACGAGGCACUACGGUGCUGAAGCGACAAAUGCCCUGCUUCCAGGAAAAGCCUCUAAGCAUCAGGUAACAUCAAAUCGUACCCCAAACCGACACAGGUGGUCAGGUAGAGAAUACCAAGGCGCUUGAGAGAACUCGGGUGAAGGAACUAGGCAAAAUGGUGCCGUAACUUCGGGAGAAGGCACGCUGAUAUGUAGGUGAAGCGACUUGCUCGUGGAGCUGAAAUCAGUCGAAGAUACCAGCUGGCUGCAACUGUUUAUUAAAAACACAGCACUGUGCAAACACGAAAGUGGACGUAUACGGUGUGACGCCUGCCCGGUGCCGGAAGGUUAAUUGAUGGGGUUAGCGGUAACGCGAAGCUCUUGAUCGAAGCCCCGGUAAACGGCGGCCGUAACUAUAACGGUCCUAAGGUAGCGAAAUUCCUUGUCGGGUAAGUUCCGACCUGCACGAAUGGCGUAAUGAUGGCCAGGCUGUCUCCACCCGAGACUCAGUGAAAUUGAACUCGCUGUGAAGAUGCAGUGUACCCGCGGCAAGACGGAAAGACCCCGUGAACCUUUACUAUAGCUUGACACUGAACAUUGAGCCUUGAUGUGUAGGAUAGGUGGGAGGCUUUGAAGUGUGGACGCCAGUCUGCAUGGAGCCGACCUUGAAAUACCACCCUUUAAUGUUUGAUGUUCUAACGUUGGCCCGUAAUCCGGGUUGCGGACAGUGUCUGGUGGGUAGUUUGACUGGGGCGGUCUCCUCCUAAAGAGUAACGGAGGAGCACGAAGGUUGGCUAAUCCUGGUCGGACAUCAGGAGGUUAGUGCAAUGGCAUAAGCCAGCUUGACUGCGAGCGUGACGGCGCGAGCAGGUGCGAAAGCAGGUCAUAGUGAUCCGGUGGUUCUGAAUGGAAGGGCCAUCGCUCAACGGAUAAAAGGUACUCCGGGGAUAACAGGCUGAUACCGCCCAAGAGUUCAUAUCGACGGCGGUGUUUGGCACCUCGAUGUCGGCUCAUCACAUCCUGGGGCUGAAGUAGGUCCCAAGGGUAUGGCUGUUCGCCAUUUAAAGUGGUACGCGAGCUGGGUUUAGAACGUCGUGAGACAGUUCGGUCCCUAUCUGCCGUGGGCGCUGGAGAACUGAGGGGGGCUGCUCCUAGUACGAGAGGACCGGAGUGGACGCAUCACUGGUGUUCGGGUUGUCAUGCCAAUGGCACUGCCCGGUAGCUAAAUGCGGAAGAGAUAAGUGCUGAAAGCAUCUAAGCACGAAACUUGCCCCGAGAUGAGUUCUCCCUGAGACUUAGAGUCUCCUGAAGGAACGUUGAAGACGACGACGUUGAUAGGCCGGGUGUGUAAGCGCAGCGAUGCGUUGAGCUAACCGGUACUAAUGAACCGUGAGGCUUAACCUU
rnacentral:rRNA from 1 species